rnacentral:rRNA from 1 species
AUACGUAGGGGGCGAGCGUUGUCCGGAAUGAUUGGGCGUAAAGGGCGCGUAGGCGGCCCGGUAAGUCUGGAGUGAAAGUCCUGUUUUUAAGAUGGGAAUUGCUUUGGAUACUGUCGGGCUUGAGUGCAGGAGAGGUAAGUGGAAUUCCCAGUGUAGCGGUGAAAUGCGUAGAGAUUGGGAGGAACACCAGUGGCGAAGGCGACUUACUGGACUGUAACUGACGCUGAGGCGCGAAAGGGUGGGGAGCAAACAGGAUUAGAUACCCUGUUAGUCCACGCAGUAAACGAUGAUGGCUAACCGCUGGGCUUAUCAGUUCAGUGGCCAAGCGAAAGCGAUAAGCCAUCCACCGGGGGAGUACGACCGCAAGGUGGAAACUCAAAUGAAUUGACGGGG